AUACGUAGGUGGCGAGCGUUGUCCGGAAUUACUGGGUGUAAAGGGUGCGUAGGCGGGUAAUAAAGUCAGAUGUGAAAUGCCGGGGCUCAACUCCGGAGGUGCAUUUGAAACUUAUUAUCUUGAGUGAAGUAGAGGCAAGUGGAAUUCCCAGUGUAGCGGUGAAAUGCGUAGAUAUUGGGAGGAACACCAGUGGCGAAGGCGACUUGCUGGGCUUUAACUGACGCUGAUGCACGAAAGCAUGGGGAGCAAACAGGAUUAGAUACCCUGGUAGUCCAUGCCGUAAACGAUGGAUACUAGGUGUGGGAGGUAUUGACCCCUUCCGUGCCGGAGUUAACACAAUAAGUAUCCCACCUGGGGAGUACGACCGCAAGGUUAAA
rnacentral:rRNA from 1 species